GCGAGAAUGGCGGAAUUGGUAGACGCCCCGGCUUUAGGUGCCGGUGCCGCAAGGCGUGGGGGUUCGAGUCCCCCUUCUCGCACCA
rnacentral:tRNA from 1 species